UAGGGAAUCUUCCGCAAUGGACGCAAGUCUGACGGAGCAACGCCGCGUGAGUGAAGAAGGAUUUCGGUUCGUAAAACUCUGUUGUUAGAGAAGAACAGCGCAUAGAGUAACUGUUAUGCGUGUGACGGUAUCUAACCAGAAAGCCACGGCUAACUACGUGCCAGCAGCCGCGGUAAUACGUAGGUGGCAAGCGUUGUCCGGAUUUAUUGGGCGUAAAGCGAGCGCAGGCGGUCAAUUAAGUCGGAUGUGAAAGCCCCCGGCUCAACCGGGGAGGGUCAUUGGAAACUGGUUGACUUGAGUGCAGAAGAGGAGAGUGGAAUUCCAUGUGUAGCGGUGAAAUGCGUAGAUAUAUGGAGGAACACCAGUGGCGAAGGCGACUCUCUGGUCUGUAACUGACGCUGAGGCUCGAAAGCGUGGGUAGCAAACAGG
rnacentral:rRNA from 1 species